rnacentral:tRNA from 1 species
AUUCUAGUAGCUUAACCCUAAAGCAUUGGUCUUGUAAACCAAAGAUUGAAAACUAUAACCUUCCUAGAAUA